CACCACCAUUCGGACUCAACCACCUCAGCACUUAUCUGACAAACAACAUUCAUCAAUAAUCACCGCCUUUCUGGCUUAGUCACCAGUUUAAUAUUUUCCAAGGGACUCUUUAAACCAUUGUUUUGUUUUCUGACUGGAAUUAGAAGAUUUUGCUCUGUGAAGACACAUGGAGGUUGUGACUGGACUAGUGUUGCUGAUGUUAAGAGGACUGUCUGAUGCCACAGUGACCACCUGUAAUGCUACUCAGAAGUCAUCACAGUGUUUUGUUGCUUUGGGUGGAACUCUGGAUCUUAAGCUAAUGACGAGUGUCAGUGGAUGUGACCUGCGGUUUAAGAAAAACCGUACUCAAGGUCCUGAACAGAUAUUUAUCAUGAAAAAAAACAAGUGUCCAUCAAAGGACCCACUGAAGGUAGAUCAGAGUUCUUUAUGAACAAUGGGACCUUCAGGUUAACCAAUGUUGAGAGGGCUGAUUCUGGACAAUACAUCCUGGAGGUCUACAAUUCUAAUGGGUCAAGUUUAGGAACCACAAUAAUACAACUGGAUAUCAAAGGCAAGUAACAAAAUAGUAAUGUUAACAAUAUUUUGUUUGCUGUUUUCUAUUGUUUAAUAUAUAAAUAAUAAGUGAUAAUGAUAAUUAUAAAACAGAUGUAUUGUUUUCAUUUGACACAAC
ensembl:lncRNA